GUAGGGAGUUCACAUACCAGGAGUUCCUUAUACUGAUGAAAAAAUGGAUCUGUAGACCUUUCCUUCUACCCUUCAAAAAUAGACUUUUCUAGGCUAUAAACCCCUUGAAAUCUGGGAUUGUUUCUUCUGCUUCUUUUACAUUCCACACAGCACCUGAGAGCAUACUGGGCACCCAACACAGCAGUGAUAUCACCCGUGGAGUUUGCAUGAAGAAAAAGAGCUAUGAAACAACUAUGCUCUUGGAAAAAACCAAGAUAGAUACACCCAAUAAUGAAGAACUGAGGUGGAGGUACAGAUCCUUACAGUGAAGAUAAUGAAAAUAUAGUCUUAUAAUUA
rnacentral:lncRNA from 1 species